rnacentral:rRNA from 1 species
UACGUAGGGUGCGAGCGUUAAUCGGAAUUACUGGGCGUAAAGCGUGCGCAGGCGGUUAUGCAAGACAGAUGUGAAAUCCCCGGGCUCAACCUGGGAACUGCAUUUGUGACUGCAUGGCUAGAGUGCGGCAGAGGGGGAUGGAAUUCCGCGUGUAGCAGUGAAAUGCGUAGAUAUGCGGAGGAACACCGAUGGCGAAGGCAAUCCCCUGGGCCUGCACUGACGCUCAUGCACGAAAGCGUGGGGAGCAAGCAGG